rnacentral:rRNA from 1 species
GACGAACGCUGGCGGCGUGCCUAACACAUGCAAGUCGAACGGAGUGAGACCCUUCGGGGUUUUACUUAGUGGCGAACGGGUGAGUAACGCGUGAGAAACCUGCCUCUCAGUGGGGGACAACAGUUGGAAACGACUGCUAAUACCGCAUAACACUUUAGUACCGCAUGGUACAGAAGUCAAAGCUUUAUGUGCUGAGAGAUGGUCUCGCGUCUGAUUAGCUAGAUGGCGGGGUAACGGCCCACCAUGGCGACGAUCCGUAGCUGGUCUGAGAGGAUGAUCAGCCACACUGGAACUGAGACACGGUCCAG